rnacentral:rRNA from 1 species
GAUCCUGGCUCAAGACGAACGCUGGCGGCGUGCCUAAUACAUGCAAGUAGAACGCUGAAGGAGGAGCUUGCUUCUCCGGAUGAGUUGCGAACGGGUGAGUAACGCGUAGGUAACCUGCCUGGUAGUGGGGGGAUAACUAUUGGAAACGAUAGCUAAUACCGCAUAAUAGCAGUUGUUUGCAUGACAAACUGUUUUAAAAAGGUUAGGCAAUUGCACCACUACCAGAUGGACCUGCGUUGUAUUAG